rnacentral:rRNA from 1 species
GAUGAACGCUGGCGGCGUGCCUAAUACAUGCAAGUCGAGCGAAUGGAUUGAGAGCUUGCUCUUAUGAAGUUAGCGGCGGACGGGUGAGUAACACGUGGGUAACCUGCCCAUAAGACUGGGAUAACUCCGGGAAACCGGGGCUAAUACCGGAUAACAUUUUGAACCGCAUGGUUCGAAAUUGAAAGGCGGCUUCGGCCGUCACUUAUGGAUGGACCCGCGUCGCAUUAGCUAGUUGGUGAGGUAACGGCUCACCAAGGCAACGGUGCGUAGCCGACCUGAGAGGGUGAUCGGCCACACUGGGACUGAGACACGGCCCAGACUCCUACGGGAGGCAGCAGUAGGGAAUCUUCCGCAAUGGACGAAAGUCUGACGGAGCAACGCCGCGUGAGUGAUGAAGGCUUUCGGGUCGUAAAACUCUGUUGUUAGGGAAGAACAAGUGCUAGUUGAAUAAGCUGGCACCUUGACGGUACCUAACCAGAAAGCCACGGCUAACUACGUGCCAGCCGCCGCGGUAA